rnacentral:rRNA from 1 species
CGAGCGGACAGAUGGGAGCUUGCUCCCUGAUGUUAGCGGCGGACGGGUGAGUAACACGUGGGUAACCUGCCUGUAAGACUGGGAUAACUCCGGGAAACCGGGGCUAAUACCGGAUGGUUGUUUGAACCGCAUGGUUCAAACAUAAAAGGUGGCUUCGGCUACCACUUACAGAUGGACCCGCGGCGCAUUAGCUAGUUGGUGAGGUAACGGCUCACCAAGGCAACGAUGCGUAGCCGACCUGAGAGGGUGAUCGGCCACACUGGGACUGAGACACGGCCCAGACUCCUACGGGAGGCAGCAGUAGGGAAUCUUCCGCAAUGGACGAAAGUCUGACGGAGCAACGCCGCGUGAGUGAUGAAGGUUUUCGGAUCGUAAAGCUCUGUUGUUAGGGAAGAACAAGUACCGUUCGAAUAGGGCGGUACCUUGACGGUACCUAACCAAAAAGCCACGGCUAACUACGUGCCAGCAGCCGCGGUAAUACGUAGGUGGCAAGCGUUGUCCGGAAUUAUUGGGCGUAAAGGGCUCGCAGGCGGUUUCUUAAGUCUGAUGUGAAAGCCCCCGGCUCAACCGGGGAGGGUCAUUGGAAACUGGGGAACUUGAGUGCAAAAAAGGAGAGUGGAAUUCCACGUGUAGCGGUGAAAUGCGUAGAGAUGUGGAGGAACACCAGUGGCGAAGGCGACUCUCUGGUCUGUAACUGACGCUGAGGAGCGAAAGCGUGGGGAGCGAACAGGAUUAGAUACCCUGGUAGUCCACGCCGUAAACGAUGAGUGCUAAGUGUUAGGGGGUUUCCGCCCCUUAG